ACUAACGAGAGUGCUCUGAAAUCGGAGUAGAUAGCCAGAAUUAACAAUGUCCAUUGAAACGCACAACGACUAUACCACUUAGCUAAGAAUUGUGUGAACAAUCAAGUCAAUAAACGUCUGGUAGUUAGUUAGAUAGUUAAUAUACUGCCUGGCAAGUUCAAUGUAUUAGUAGCCAACUAACGUUAGGUAAUACUGGUAUAUACUGCUGUAAUGCUAUGCGGUUCGUAAGGAUAGCAUAGCUAACAAAUUGUCAGCCAACGUAAGUUAUUUGAAAAGUCAGGACUUUACUACAUUGCUCAACAUUUUCUUAACAUUUGUGAUAAUUAGUUAAAUGAAUUUGUAUCCGCUCUCGUCGGACUUCGGCUGCAUAUUUUCCGCCAUUUUCUUCAAAUCUGAAAUGGUUGUGAAGCUACGCCCAUUUUCUGAAGUAUUGCAUUAUGGGCCCUGAAAGCACGGAAAUAGUGUACACUGCUUGGUUACUUCGUAUUUUGGCACGACAUCUGGGAACUUUUUGCAUACUAACUAUAACCAAAAAGCAUACUAUAUACUCAAUUCACGUCACAAAUAGUAUGGUUAGUGUGAGUAUUGAAAGAAAGUUGAUUUGAAAACCAAUAGAACAUGAGAGAAAUAUGCUACUGGUUUCAAUGGUUUAUAGAAGUCUUAAGAGAAGAAUUGUUUCUAUGGUCGGAUUUUACUUUGAAGCAAGGACCUGAGCCCUAGGACCAUGCCUCAGGACUACCUGGCCUGAUGACUCCUUGCUGUCCCCAGUCCACCUGGUUGUGCUGCCGCUCCAGUUUCAACUGUUCGGCCUGCGGCUAUGGAACCCUGACCUGUUCACCGGACAUGCUACCUAGUCCCGGACCUGCCGUUUUCGACUCUCUCUCUACCGCACCUGCUGUCUCUAACUCUGAAUGAUCGGCUAUGAAAAGCUAACUGACAUUUACUCCUGAGGUGCUGACCUGUUGCAACCACUGUGAUUAUUAUUAUUAUUAAUAUUUGACCCUGCUGGUCAUCUAUGGACGUUUGAAGAUCUUGGCCAUGUUCUGUUAUAAUCUCCACCCGGCACUGCCAGAAGAGGACUGGCCACCCCUUCCUAGGUUCCUGUCUUUCUAGGGAGUUUUUAAUAGCCACCGUGCUUCUACAUCUGCAUUGCUUGCUGUUUGGGGUUUUCUGUAUAGCACUAUGUGACAUCAGCUGAUGUAAAAAGGGCUUUAUAAAUAAAUUUGAUUGAUUGA